GUAAAUUUUUACGGCAAUUUUUUUAGAACUUUUCACUGUACAGAAACGAAUCACAACCGUUAGAGUUCGAAGCUUCUCUUCUCCCCGACCAAUUCUUACAUUUCAUCUCCAAACUCUCUCUCUCUGCAUCUCUCAUUACUCCAUUUCAUUACGUGAGGAACGGAAUCGUGAAUUUUUAGAGAGAGAAAAUGAAUGCUGUUGGAAGGCAGAGAUCUGGUGCAUCAUCCACUGUGCACCACCAGCGGCAGAACUCCGAUAAUUUUCUAGAAUCAUCAUCUAACGGCCGAUGGCUGCAAUCAGCUGGUCUCCAGCACAUGCAGCUAUCGAACAAUGCAGUUCCUCCACUUCAGGUGCAUUUUCGUAAUUUAGCGUUGCUUGUUGACCAAAUGUAUGCUUAGAUCUGAAUAUCUGAAUUCUGCAACGGAAAAUUUACGAAUUUUGAAUUAGGAUUUUGGUUACCAUAAUGGAGGGGGUGAGGACUCGAAGAUGUAUAGGAGCGUGCAGGCGCAGAGGACUUAUAGUGGAAAUAGCGAUUUGUUUGCUGAGCCAUUGAUGCCACCAGUAUAUUCACGGCCAGGUAGUCAGAGAAGGAAUGUAGAGGAGCAAGUUUCACCAAAUGAGUAUAGCCCGGGGCUCUUGGAUCUGCAUUCUCUCGACACUGAGUUACUUUCCUCGGUAGAUAUCGGAUUCUGGCAAUAAAUUGUGCAAAUGAAUUAGUAGAAGACUGAAAUUAUUAUUAUUAUUAUUAUUAUUAUUAUUAUUAUUAUUAUUAUUAUUUAUUUAUUUAUUUAUUUAUUUAUUUUUUUGUGUUAUAGUGGAUUAAGUAUUUGGGUGUGCUGCUGAAUUAAUUUCUAUUGAGUGUGAUUGCCCUUACAGUGGAUUAUCUCGUGUUCAAGUGUGUGAAUUACAACUCACUCUUUGUUGACUUCAGGUUUUAAUUACUUGUGAGCCUAAUUAAUAUGUGGCUUAUUGAUGAUGUCUGAUGAUUUUUUCUCAACAAGUCAUAAGAUUUCAUUUCACUCAUAGUGAGAAAUCUAAAGUUAUCUAGUUUAGAAAAUUGGAUUCAUGGUAGCUGAUAAUAAUCCCUAAGCUAGUGUGGUCUCUAAAUAUAAGAUUAUGCUCAGAAAAUUGAUAGCACAUUAGUUAUUAGAUAUUUUAUCGGUCUCAUUGUUUUAAUUUGGUUUUGAAACAUUUUGCUAUUCUAGUUCAUCUUGUUAUUUUAACUUUUUCCCUGUUUUUUUCCUUUUGUUGUAUGUGGAAACUAGAUGCCAGCUCCUCGUCUGUAUAAUGGCACCUCAAUGCAUUUUGCACAGGGAAGAAGCUUUGAUGACUCCAAUCCAUACUUUGGAAACAGUAAACAAACAGGCAAAGCUCGUGGUUUGCAGGAGAACAAUGUUAUGAAAAGCAUUGCAACGGACAAUGUGAGGGCCAGCAAUGUUGCAAAGAUCAAAGUGGUGGUAAGUAUGUUUUUCGUGUUCUAAUCAAACUGUUCUUACCUUUUUGUUUCUCGAUUAGCCUGUAGCUACCCAUACCUACAUUCCUUACUUUCUGAUUUUAUUACUAAUAAGCAUUACAUAUAGUCUUUUAAUCAGACUAACCUAUGCAAGUUUCAUGAAAUGCAAUCAUUGCAUCAAGAGGCAAUUUUUUUCAGUAUAAUGUCUUCCAUGCUCUGGAUUAAUGAAUUACAGAUUAUAUUGUUGCUUUUACCUUGCAUUCAAUUAUGAUUGAUUGGUUGCAGGUACGUAAAAGACCACUAAACAAAAAGGAACUGUCGAAGAAUGAGGAAGAUAUCAUUGAAACAGAGUCUAACUGUCUUGUAGUCUAUGAGACAAAACUUAAGGUCUGUGACAGUAUCUUUUUGUGCAUGUUUAAAUUUUUUUUUUCUAAGAAGAUUGCUAUCAUAGGUCUCUUUAAUGUCUCUUGGUUAUAAUUUUGAUAACGUUUUGUGCUUUACAUUUUGUCAAUAAGAUGGCCUGUACUGCUCCUUAUAAUAGCACUGGCAACUGGAUUGGUUGUUGUAAUAUAUCUAAAUCCCUGUUUCCUUUAACUAAAACUCAAAUUUUAGAAAUUAUUAAAAGUUGUGGGUUCUAUGGAAUGUGUGAUUGAAAAUGACUUCUAGAAAAUGAGGGCCAAACAAAAAGAUUGAUUUCAUUGCCAAUUAUACCUUGUGCAUUUCCGGAAAUCUUUUCCUCCUGGUUAUUUUUUUUGAUCGUGACUGACUUUGAGAAUAAUUUCAUCCCUCAUGUUGUUACUUAUUUCUUAAUGCUGCAUGUUGCCCGCACAUUAAUUUUGAUUGAUUUCUUUCACAAUAAGAGAAUAAUGUUGAUUCAAGUCGUCAGUCAGAUACAUGCUUUUUAUUGGGUCGAUUUGUCUUUUGCUGUUCUCCAGCGAAAGCACUCGAUAAUGGAUAAUAUUAACAAAUUUAUCCUCCCAUAUGGUAGUCUUGUGCCAAAAAUUAAAUGGACAGGUAAUCGUUAUUUAUAUUUCAUUGUAGUCAGAAUUUCUUUUGUGAGAUAUUCAAUGUCUUUGAAUCCCAAUUUCUCGCAGGUUGACUUGACAGAAUAUGUGGAGAAGCAUGAAUUUGUCUUUGAUGCCGUGCUAAAUGAGGAAGUAUCAAAUGAUGAGGUGAUGAGCGUGAUCUAGAGUGAAACCAUGUAAAAUACUCUUGGUGUCUCGGCCUAUAACUUUUUCUCAACAUUUUAUAUCUCUAGGUCUAUCGAGAAACUGUGGAGCCCAUUGUUCCAAUAAUUUUCCAACGAACCAAAGCUACUUGCUUCGCCUAUGGGCAAACAGGUAAUUGCUUACAUGUAAUCAUCAGUAGAUUUGGUGUUAGAAGCUUGCUGUAGUUUGUUUGACUUUUAUUUCUGUAUUUCUAGUUUUGGUUUUUUUAUCUACAUACUCUGGUGGUCCUGUUGCAUGCUUGGUAAGCAUAUUUGAGUUUUUUAAUUAAACUUUUCUUCAAUUUUUAUGGAAUUAUUUUCAAGUUUUAUCAAGGCGAGCCUCUUUUAAGAAUGUAGGGGAAGAACAUGCUUGAUUACCCCAUUCAUGCAAAAGUGAGGCUUGAUUGAGAUGUUUUAGGUUUUGCAGCUACCUAUGGACUUGCUAGAGAAGCAAGACAGGUCCCAUAUAAAGCAAAAAAUAUCAUGAUGAGUAGAUAGUUAAGUAGCAUGGGCACUUUAACUAGGGUAAUAUGUCCGACACGUGUUGGAUACCGAGACUCCUUGGAUACUAUCCCAUUGUCAUUUUUUCUUUAUUAAAAAUGUUAUAUAUUUUCAACUCAAAGUUAUUGUUAAACAACAAAUAUAUACUCAUAUUUAAAAGAUUUCUACAAGAAAAAUUUAUAACAAAUAUAAAAUUAAAUCCUGUUUAAUAGGGAUUAAAGUUAGAUUUUUAAUAGAUUUUGAUAGAAGUUGAUGAAAUGUGUGGUUGAAAAGCGUCGUUCCAUAAAAUGUGUAGUUAAAAUUAAUUGUUAACUUUGACUUAUAUUCAAAGUUGAAUUUUAACUUUUACCAAAUAGGGGCUAAAUUUACACUGUAUAAAUGAAAAAUUUUAAAGAGUUUUAACAAUUUGUCGAUGAUGUGUCGUAUUAGUAAUUUUUUGAGAAAUUAUGUCUUGACAUGUCCGUGUAGGUGCUUUAUACGUAGACAAAAUCUAGACUUGAAAGACAGACUUGUAAUUGGUGCAGUUAUUGACAUUGUGUGCAAAAAAUCUAGAAAUGAUAGUGUUGGAUAAAUUUAUUGCUCACCUGGUAUAACGAAUUAAUUACCAAUAGUAAUAUUUUUUAUUGGUGGCUUGGAGAAAUGAACCAUGCUGUUAAAGCAUCAGUUAGUAACCCUUUUAUGGAAGGCAUGCUCUUGUUGAUUUAAUUUAUUAACUAUAAUUGUCCUCCAAAGCCAUGGAUAUUUCUGUAGCUGCUUACACGGACUUCUCUUAUCACGAGAGGCGUUGCUAAAUCAAUAAGAUAAUUGUGCAUUAUAAUAAGCAUUUGAAUUAUCCAAAUAUUAUAACUUAUUUUAUUAUUAUUAUUUUUAUAUAAUUUUCGUUCUCAUGCUGAUUUGAAGCAAAUUGUUUUUAGAAAAUUACAAUUUUUGUAUGCCCUAUAAAGUCAAUUAGUUCUACAUUUUUUUAUCCAUAUUAACCUUAAAAACUAUACUAAGCCUUUUUUAUGAAUCACAAAAUGGCUAUAAUGUGAGAAACGAUGAGAAUGUACUAUGAUAAAUAAUCUAAGAAAGUGUUAGCUUUAAGGCAUGUAGACAUUUCUCAAUCUCCUAAAGUGUUUGUAUUUGAGGUUUUUUGAUCCCAUGGGGAGAUUAAACUUUCUCCUUAGAAGCAUCGACAUGGACACAAUUGUCAGACGCAUAUUAUUAUGUUGGGCCUCUGAUACGCGUUAGUGACAUUUCGGUGUCUAAUAUGUGUUCGAUUUCGAUAUGUUGACCGCGACAGCAUGUUGGUACUUUUUAGUUCUCCUUCAAGUUUUUAUCAAUGGGAAAGAGACUUAGGUUUAUCUAAUUAUUGAGAGCUUCAAUAUAUUUUUCCAGACAUGAGUUUACCGAAAUGUGAAUGUCAAUCCUAAACAAUAUUAUAUAACUGUUGAGUGCACCAUUUUCAUUUGUUUCUAUAGAAGAAUGAGAAAUGUCCAAAUGUCUCAAAGCUCACACUAUCUUAUAUUAUUUUUAUGGUACAUUCCCAUUGUCUCCUACAUUAGGCAUCCCGUGAUCCAUUACAAAUGACUUAGUAUAAUUUUUAAGGUUCAUGUAAAUAAAAAUCAAAGAACAAGCUGACUUUACAACGCCAUAUAAGUGAAAAACUUUACAGAAAUUGUAAUUUUCUAAGUAAUUUCCUUCAAAUCAGCACGAGAGUAUGAAAUAAUAUUUGGGUAAUUCUAAUAUUUAUUGCAAUGCAUAACCAUGAAUAUCCAUCAGUCUAAAGCAUUUAGAGGUGAUCGUCAUUAACUUUAGUCAAAUACCUGUCUUGAACUAGUUUACUACCUCAUCUAAAAGAUUAAGCCAUUAGAGGGAAUAAACAUAUUUAUUUGAAAUUUAUUUAAACUUACUGUAUAAUAUUAUCAAAUAAUUUUUGAAUGCAAUGGGCGAUAAGCCCAACUUAACUGAUUGCAGGCCUCAAACUUUUGGACCGUCUAUUUGGUCUCGCAAUGGACUUUGUGAUUGGCAUUAAUCAACGUUAGGGUGUGUUUGAGCCACAUUCUUGUUAAAGAAUGUAUUUUGGAAUAGUAAAUUGAUGGAGAAUGUGUGGUUAAAAAAGAAGAAGAAAUUUUUUAUUUGCAUGUAAGAUUAUUUUAAUGAAGAAUGUGGUUGAAAAGACGGGAGAGAAAAAUAUAUUUUAGGAAAAAUGGGAAUCAAACAUCCCCUUAUUAUACGUCACAAACUUAGCAUAUGUUUGAGCCCCAUUUUAAGGGAAAAAUAGGUUUUGUAAAAGUGAUUUUUUAGAAAAUGUAUAGUUAAAAGUAGGAAAGUUUUUAUUUGGUGAAUGUGUGGUUAAAAAUGAUUUUGGGGAAAAAUGAAUUUUUAUAAAGGCUCAAACAAGGGUUUAGUGUUGUUUGUGUUAAUUUUUUUAUAGGGCAACUUACAGAAAUACUCUUGAGCUCUUAUUUGAUGCCAUUAUUUGGCCAAAAUAAUGUUUUGAAUAGUGAUUUUUAUGCAAAUGUGUGCUUAAAAAGUAGAAAUUUUUUUUAAGUUUACAUGCAAAAUAUUUUAUUGUGUGAAAGCAUGGUAGAAAAUAAGUAUACAAAAAAAGAGUUUUCAAAUAAUAAUUGUCAAACAGGGGCUAAAACAUAGGGGUUUUUGAAAAAUCAUAUGAAAAGUAUUUUGGAAGUAAAAAAUACUAUGUAAAGUCAGGUGAGACUUUUUUUAAAAAAAAGAAAAAAAAAGACAUAAAAUGCUACUAUUUAAUCAAAAAGUGAUGUGUGUUCACUUUCUAUACCAUGAAAAUUUAAGUCAACAUUUAACACAACAUAAAAUAAAUUAACAUACGUUGGAAAUUGAUUGUGUGUGACAUUUAAUAUAAAAAUUGCACAACACGCUUUAUAUGUUACAUUUUAAUGAAAUGCCACAAACCAUGUAACUUGACUUUCUUAAUAAAAUAUUUAAAGAUUAAAUGGUCUUUUCUUCUGUGACAUUAAACAUGGAAGCAAUUCAGUUAAGCGACAAAAAUUCAAAAAGUGAAAAACAUCAAUCAAAAUCUGAGAAUAGAUUUAGGGGUGAUUGAUUUUCUUCUACAUGGUCUAGUGGACAUGUUGCAUGCUUGCUAAGCAUAUUUGAGAUCCUUAAUUAAACUUUUCUUCAAUUUUUAUGGUAUUACUUUCAAGUUUCCUCAAGGCGAGAGCCUAUUAAGAAUGUGGGGAAGAACAUGCUUGAUUACCUCAUUCAUGCAAAAGUGAAGCUUGGAUUUAGAUUUUUGGUUUUGCAGCCACCCAUGGACUUGCCAGAUAAACAAGACGGUCCUAAAUAGAGCAAAAAAAAUGUCAUAGAUGAGUAGAAACUAUAAAGAAUCUAGACCUGAAAGACGGACUUGCAUUUGGUGCUGUUAUUGACAUUGUGUGCAGAAAAUCUAGAAGUGACGGUGUUGGAUAAAUUUGUUGCUCAUCUGGUUUAACAAGAUAUUUUUGAUUGGUGGUCUGGAGAAAUGAACCAGGCGGGUAAAGCAUCAGUCAGUUACCCUUUUAUGGAAGACAUGCUCUAGGUGAUUUAAUUUACUAACUUUGAUUGUCCUCCAAAGCCAUGGAUAUUUCUGUAGCUGCUUCCAUGGACCUCUCUUAUCAUGAGAGGCAUUGCAGAAAGAGUAAAAUGAACAAAAUUCAUGGUUGGUUAUCUGACGUUUUAUAUAAUUUGAAAUAGAACAAAAGAAGGUGCUAAAUUUGGGUCCCUGCCGUAUUAAAGGACUAAUUUUUGCUUAUGAUCGGCUGAUAAGUGAUACCAGACAUAUUUGAAAGAUAUCCAUGAAGAUGUUAUUUUUCUCUGUGUCAUCCUAAUUCUUAACUAAUCUGUAAGCUUUGUCUAACUUUUUACGUUUUUUCUUCUGAAAUUUAUUCAGGAAGUGGUAAAACUUUUACCAUGAAACCACUACCCCUCAAGGCUUCUAGGGAUAUUUUGAGGCUUAUGCAUCACACUUACAGGAAUCAAGGGUUUCAAUUGUUUGUAAGCUUCUUUGAGAUAUACGGAGGGAAAUUAUACGACUUACUCAGUGAUAGGAAGUAAGAUGCCCCACUAGGUUCUCACUUAAAUCAUUCAGCCAUUACUAGUCACCAUAUGGAUUUUCAAGACCUUUCAUAUUUUCUUUUUGUAGAAAGCUUUGCAUGAGAGAGGAUGGCAAGCAACAAGUUUGUAUUGUAGGCUUGCAAGAGCACAAAGUAUCAGAUGUGGAGACAAUUAAGGACCUUAUCGAGAAAGGAAAUGCAACAAGAAGUACAGGCACCACUGGAGCUAAUGAGGAAUCAUCCCGUUCACAUGCCAUUCUUCAGCUUACCAUUAAGAGGUCAGCUGAUGGCAAUGAAUCCAAACCUGCUCGAGUUGUUGGCAAGCUAUCUUUUAUAGACCUUGCUGGAAGUGAACGUGGUGCAGAUACUACUGAUAAUGAUAAGCAAACAAGGUAUAUAUAACUUCAUCAUCUUCUUCUUCCUUAGUAUUCUCUGGGAAAACAUUCAAUUUGGACAUCUGAUCUUAAAACAGAAAUCUAACAAAUGCAGAGAUGUAUUUAUCAUGUUGUGUUUGAGGGUGCAUAACAUUUGCACUUUAUAUGCUAAUAAUUAUUAUUACCCAAGUAUUGUCUGUUGUUUGAGAAAAAAAACUAUACUUAUAGUGUCCAUUGGUCUCUCAUGUUAUUUGAUAUGAUACCAACAAUUUGCAUUUUUUAAAUAAGUUCUCAGUUAGCGUUUUCUGAAUAUGCAGAAUGGAAGGAGCUGAGAUUAAUAAAAGUUUGCUUGCCUUGAAGGAAUGCAUUAGAGCUCUUGAUAAUGAUCAAGGGCACAUUCCAUUUAGAGGCAGUAAAUUAACUGAAGUCUUAAGGGAUUCAUUUGUUGGAAAUUCUCGUACUGUGAUGAUUUCAUGUGUUUCACCCAAUGCCGGAUCCUGUGAACAUACAUUAAACACAUUAAGAUACGCGGACAGGCAAGUCUCAUUUUUUAAUGAUAUAAAUCUUCUGUUGGGCAAAUGGCACCUUCUCUGUAAGGUCUUAUCUUCUUUCUUUUUAAUUAUAGGGUGAAGAGCCUUUCAAAGGGGAACAACAACAAAAAAGAUGUUUUCUCAUCAACCUCAAAUCUGAAGGAAUCAACACCACAGCCUCUGUCAUCAGUUUUACCGCCUGCAUCAACAUUUGAAGAUGACGCUGGUGAUUCGUGGCCUGAACAAACUGAUAGGGAAGAAUAUGACGAAGAGUUAUACGAGACAGAGAAGCCAGUAUGGACAAAAAACUCAAAAGUUGAAUCAUACAGUUUUUCUAAGAUGGACGAUAAAAUGAGAGCCAAUGGCCAGUCAAAGUGGAAGGAACCCCUUAAGUCGGAUGUGAAAUACUCGAAUUCUGACGAAGACUUGAACUCUCUUUUGAAAGUAAGACUACUAGAAAUUGCUUUUUAACAACAGAUCGAGUCCAGUCCAGGCGCUGACUUCUGUGACUCUUUGAUUCUUUAGGAAGAGGAAGAUCUCGUAAAUGCCCAUAGAAGACAAGUGGAGGAGACAAUGGAUAUUGUUCGAGAGGUUAGUGAUAAUCUUAUAGCAGCCCUAACAUGUCCUUUUUUUUUUUUUCGUCGGUGAUGGAAUAGAAGAAUAUUAGUUGGAUCAAAACCAAUUUAUUACUUUCACAUUACUCAUACACUGUUCCGGCCUUGAAUCUAGACACCGUCUUCGGUUGUUAGCAUUGGCAGCUUUACGAUACUAUUGAGUGUUCUCUUUUGUAUUUUGAUGCUUUCUAUACGAGGUCUCAAGUAUAUUCGGUGUUGAUUUAGAUGGAUCACGUCUUUCAUAUGAUUAUGAUGCAAAUUACCAGCAUUCAUGGUAGAGAGUUUACCUGAAUUAUAGCCAUCUCAUUUUCUGUUAAUUGAUUUGAAAGUUAAUUCAUUUUAUAAACGUAGAUUGGUGUAUCUCAUUUUAUUUUACAAGUUGUAUUCUUAAGUCUAUGCACCUUCAUCAAAUUUUACUUUACCAUUUGCAGGAGAUGAAUCUAUUGGUUGAGGCAGAUCAACCAGGGAAUCAGCUAGAUGAUUAUGUCACUAGAUUGAAUUCAAUCUUGUCCCAAAAGGCUGCCGGUAUUUUACAGUUACAGAAUCGCUUGGCUCAUUUCCAAAGACGAUUAAAAGAGCACAACGUCAUAGUAUCUUCUGGUAAUUAAGUGUCAUACGACAAUGCACAUAGAAUUCGGUGUGAUGCAUAUUGCUUGGGAUAGUAGCUUACAAUAUCAUUAUUAUUUAACAAAAUCAUACGGCAGAUGCCAUUUGCUUUGCAGCUAAGUAAUUCUUAGUAUCAUUCUUAGCUUACAAUAUGAAUGUUUCUCUGCUUGUUUAUGAUUGAUAGUAAAUUAUUUUCAUCUGCUGAUCACGUUGACUUUGGAAGGCUACUAAGGAUUGAGUGAAUAAUGGAAAACAUACGCAAGGCCUCGAUCGUGGCCUUCCCAUUUUUCUUGGAGAAGCUUGUC
rnacentral:lncRNA from 1 species